UACGUAGGUGGCAAGCGUUGUCCGGAUUUAUUGGGUUUAAAGGGUGCGUAGGCGGUCUUAUAAGUCAGUGGUGAAAUACGGCAGCUUAACUGUCGAGGUGCCAUUGAUACUGCAAGACUUGAGUACAGACGAGGUAGGCGGAAUUGACGGUGUAGCGGUGAAAUGCUUAGAUAUCGUCAAGAACACCGAUAGCGAAGGCAGCUUACUAGACUGUAACUGACGCUGAUGCACGAAAGUGUGGGGAUCAAACAGG
rnacentral:rRNA from 1 species